CAGUCAGUCACUUCCGCAACAUGUGUGUGUAUAUGUUUGUUUCCAUUUCUGGGCGCUUAUAGUAGCCUACUUGGACAUGAAACCCCAUCCAUUCUCCUGGGGACGUGGGGCAGUUGGCUCGGGGGUCUUUGAUAUGCGACAACAUGGUCGCCCCCGUGGAAGAGUCUCAGAUGUCCAUGAUGGAUGGCCCCAGGUACUUCCGCUUGAGUCCUGUGACGGUGCGUUCCGAACUCUGACCGAGUUGACAAUGACUGCAAUGCGCUCAAGGUCCUCGACACCGAGCUGGGAGGCCAGUUGAACCGACGCACGGCUCCCGCUCUUCUCCUGGCCCAGCGUCACCCUCGCUUCGGCCCGGCUGACAGCUGCUAACCACCGCUUGCUGAGAGCGAUGCGGGUACUCCCCUCCGCGGUGAAGAACCACUCCGAGAGCCUGUACGCGUACAAGGUGCUGGAGGCCAUCGGCGGCUGCGUGAGGCUGACCAACGCCACACGCCCUCAAUGUGGGACAGAGGUAACCAAGGCGACCGCGUCUGGCUGGAAAGGCAACUGCAGCCCGCCGUUCCGGGGACCACGGAUAGGCGGUUGGUCCGGAGGGCCCUCUCCUUCCUGCCCAGGUCCCGAGGGACGGCCUGCCGGCUGCCCCUUGGAGGGUAGGGCAUUGGGGUCUGAUUCUUGGGUGCUUUUCAGCCGGACGACCGAAAGCCUGAGAAGACUUUGAAACAUGCAUGAUUGUACAGAGCCCCCCCGAUAAUUGGCAAUUCGUUUUCACUCAAGUGUGCGUCUAUGUAAAUGUCUCCUCGUUAAACACUUUGAAUAAACUUUAAUUCAGUCUGAGAUGGAAUUGAGGAUUAUGCUGCAACUAAAGUGUUACAAUAUUUCACUGUGAAUUACAUCGGAAGGCGAUACAAUAUAGGCUACCACAUACAAUUGACAUGAUUUUUUUUAAUGAGAAAUACACCAAACUGAAAAAAUUGUACAAAUUGAAAUAAAAUAAAAAACUUGCAUUAUU